rnacentral:misc_RNA from 1 species
AAACUUCUCAACUGCACCAAAUCUGUUUUGGAUGCGGCUUGGAAAUGGGGGAGGUGUGCAGGCUUUUAUGAAAAGGUCUGCUCCCCUGAAAUGAAUUAGUGGGCGACUACCACAGGUGUGAUAACUGUCAACGCCUUGGUUACAUGCUGCCUGCUUUCCAACCAACCUUGAAUGACCA